rnacentral:sRNA from 1 species
UGGGAGAGAGAGAGCGAAUAGGAAGAGGAGCAGAAGAUCGAAGAACGAACGCAUUAGCGCCGUUCUCACUCAAAUUUUUUCACCCGGCACAAGCGCCCGUCGGCAAAUCAGCUCCGCGCUUCUAUCCCUGAAAAUGCGGAAAAUGGUGGAAAAUCCAAUGGGAAAUAUGUUGCUGGUGUAUGAAAUAAAGUUUGCUGUAGUGAUUAGAUAUAAAUGUGCAAAAAAUGUGUGUGCAAUGCAAGAAAAUGUGUUAAAUCAAGAGCGGCAGCGCAAGAUGGCAACAAAAAGGCAGCUCGGCAGCGGAAAAGUGCGGCAAAGUGUGAUACAGCUGUAUUUAUUUUAAAUAUAUGCAGAUUAACAUAUUAUUUAUGCCUUUUUUUUCAUGUGAACAAAUCUAAAAUGUGUUUUUUUCCGUUCUGUGCGCGUUUUUGGAAAUUUGGUAGAAAAGACGCGAAGUUAUGUCCCUUUCGCACUCAUCAAGAAAUAUCGCAGUGAAGAAGAGCAUCAAAACGGAAUGUGAGAGCGUUCAAAGUGACGCUCAUUUUGGCGUGAGAGGCAUUCCAAAUACUGGAGAUCUGACGCUCUCCCGCUUCGAGCAUCAGCUUCCACCCUCUAAUGCAAUAGAAUGAAGAGAGUGAAGCAAGUUCUUUCAAUUUCAUCUUUCUUUCGUUAAGGAAAAGAUACCCUAUAAAGUACCCCCUAAAAAACGAAAAGCUGCUAAACAGGGACAUCCAACUUUAAAGUGUAAUCCCUCGGAGCUGUCUGCGAAGCGCCAAAAGUCCUAGGACCCACACAUUUGCAAUGCAUCUCCAAAGGCCACGAAGGGAGGGGUGCUGGGCUGCUUCUAUGUGGCAGAGGGAUAAUCGUAUCGUUCGAUGGUCGUCGUAUAAUAAAUAUCGUAUAGGAGAGGUGUUUGUCGGUGCUCAACCGAUCAGAGAACGAAAAUGGAGUGGAUUCCGAGGAUGAUGAGGAAGGAAGACACCCCUGAGAAUGAAUCUAAUGACAGCGAGAGCGCCAUAUUUCCGAGAGAAAUAUGUACAGAUAGUCCGCCCUUUCUACAUGAAUUCAAAAGAAAUGUCAUCCUUUCAUCAUGGACUAUAUUCGUAGUUCUUCAAGCAUAUUUCUUAAGUAAACCAAGAUCUACCACAAAUGACAGUUUCCAUGGAUUUUCUCAGGUCUUUGGAAUCACUUAAGAUUCUCCAUUAUUCUGGAAUAUUUCUACCGGAUCACCACUAUAUCAUCACCGAAAGGAAGGAUUCCUUGAUACGUUGUCUAGAGAAAUUCAGUGGAUAUGAAAGGCAAUGUGCACAAUUAUUCUCACCUCUGGCUCUCCGAGAAGGAGACGUCCCAUUAAGAAGUCUGCGAAUGAAUAUUCCUUGCCAGAGAACAGCAGCAUCCUUUCGUUUGAAUAAACCAAUUACGAUCUGUGCUCGUUCUCACUGGCAAUCACCUCCUUGCCGCUGUCCUGUCCUGUCCCAUUGCUGAUUGGCAUUCCAUUAUCUGCAUCUUCACGAGAAGCUUCUUCAUUAUUCCAUCAUCAUCAUCAUCAUCGAAAGGAGCUGCAGGAGCUGCACGAGGAGCUACUGCUUCAGUGGCAGUAACAGCUGCCACUGCAGGAUCCUUCAUUAUGUUGAUUCGUGAGGAAGGACGAGAGCGACUAAGAGGACGAGAGCGAGUGCGAGUGCGAGUGCUGCGUAUUUGGUUAAAUUGUUGAAGGUCGCCCGAAGGCAGCAGCACUUUUGUGGGUCUGCCUGCCCGUGGGUCUGCCUGCCAAGUCUCAUGUGCAUAAUUCAAGUUGUUGCACAUGCCACACACACACAUACACACACACACACACAUGUGAGACACUCGAGCGGCACGACGAGCCCUGUCGACUGUCGACUGCUAAGUGUCCUUUGGCAGGCGCAAGAUGAAAGCAAAAGGCGGCUGAAAUUAAAUUAAAAUGAAAUGCAUGCAAAGUGCCACAGCGGCAGCGACAACGACAUGGUCCCGCGUCCCGAGUCCCGUAUCCCGACUCCCAGCUCCCAGCUCCCGAGUCCUCUUUUAGUCCUCGUCAUCGGUGUGUCCUGAGUGUGUACUUUAAGCUUGCAAUUAAAUUGCAGGACGAGCCGCACCGCUGCCACUGCCGCCGCACGGGAAUUGCGCAGGCUCUCCGAUAGCGAGGAGUUGGAGAUCCCUGCCGCCCAGAGGGUGGGGCAGAGGGCAUGUCCAAUGCAUAUGCAUUGCAAUUAAGCAAUCAAUGGCAUAAUUAUCGACACAUGAGAGUCACCCGAUUUAUUAACACGCCUGCCCCGAGGCGCUGCUGCAACAGCAACAGCAACAGAACAGCAAUCGACAAUCGAUUGGCAACUUGUUCAAUUUAAAUGCUCAAACAAACAAAGGAGACCAGACACAGACACCGGAGAGGCGGGGGGCUGGCAGUGUGGGGAGAGUGGUUUUCGGGCAUACAGCCGGAGCCGGAGUGGGGGGUUAACCAAGAAGCCAUUUGCAGACCAGAUCCAGAUCCUGUGCCAAUCAGCAGCCGCAAGCCACACAAAAACUGUCGCGACACCGAAAUGGCGGCCAAAGAAGUGUUUCGUUUUACAGACUGUAAGCGCAUUUUAUGGAACUUUUGUCCUAAUAUGAAGGAAGAGACAUUUGUAAUGGAAAACGAUGCAAGAUCUACAAUGUUCAAAGGAACAUUGGCGGCUGAAACAGGAACUACAGGCACACAGGAACUACAGGAACUACAGGAACUUAAAGACGAAGGACAGGAAUAGUUCGAUGCUUCAGCAAAUAAGAUGUCUAUCAUAUAUUAUUGUGGAAAAAAACACGUCGGUGUUUGAUUUUGAACAGACAGAUAGAAGGAAACAUUUCCGAACCCAUGAGGUACACAGUAGUAGCCGGGCUCCCUCCGGCGGCUGUACCUGUUUGGGUGGUGCCGGAUCGGUACUGCAUCCACGAUCGCAUGCAUCGUGCUUCGCAGGUGCAGACAUUACCGACAUCGUCUUCCCUCCUGCACCUCCUGCUUUACCUUGAAGGCUUUGACCGGCUUAUUGGCCGAGACCCUUUAUGGCAACAACCGCGAUAUCCUCCUCUUACCCCGCCAGCAGAUCGCACCUUCCGGAGGACAUGAAUAGCUCUUGUUUACGAAGGGCCUAAGCCUGACGACAGUCCACUCCAUGCGAGCGGCUGACAUCGGAUUUGCAUAAAAUUACAAUACUGGUUUUUUCUGUAGGCCAUAUCUCUGGUAUCCGGCAGCCGAUCUGGGCGCGGCAUGUCUCUCCGUGCUCGGGAGAGUCCUACCAAUCGACUGUCACCCUAAAAAGGGACAUCAAUUUUCUCACUAUUUUCGUAAAAAAUCAUGAUGGUUACA